rnacentral:lncRNA from 1 species
GAAGAAUGAUAUACCAUUUUGCGACCUGAAAGUGUACCAUGAUCAAAAGCAGCAGAUAAACUCCAAUGGUUUAUUUUUUAGCUUUCUUCAAAUUUGUGUACCUGCAAAUGGUCUCUGUUUGGACUAAUAAAUGGAGGCAAGUCUCGGAUUGUUUUGGCCUUUGAUUUCAAAAUGAUAAGGUAAACCCCCAAUUCAUCACUCUGUAGAAAACUCCCAAUCCUGACAAUACCCUCAUUCAGUAAAUUUGUCUUUAAGCUGUAACAUGGAAUUCACCCAGAAUCAGAUUGAUACUUUCUGAAAGCUAAAGGAGAGCAAGUGCUGAAUGUAUCAAUCCUUGAGGGAAAACGGUAAUGGCUUUGUAACUUCCCUGAUACUGCUAAACAAUUUAGAAGAUCGGUCUGAGAGAAAAAGGUGAUGCCUCUGGUUUUUCUGUAGCUGCUGGUGAUUUAUCAAACACGAAAAGAGUUGCUUUUGCAACUACUACUUAUCAUAAGCCAACUCAAUAGAUUUGCUGAUAACAGUUGGGGGUGUUGCUACCACAUAAUCUGCUGAAUUGCCUCCUGCGUGCAGUUGAAUUAUAACCACAGAAAGUGUGGAAUUUCACAGAAUCCUUAUAUCAAGAAUGCACUGUCGUGAAUAAUAAUAUCCAUAUGCAGUUAUCCAAGCAAGUAAAUCACCGGCAACAUUAUG